UGUUGAUUUUCUUUACGUAGC
ensembl:piRNA 21ur-1975 ncRNA